UGUCGUCAGAGCACCAGGGAGGGACCUGGGCAGAUAGAGAAGCCGGAAACAGCAGGCCGGGGCAGCCAGGGUUUACAGUGAAGAGGAAGGCCGGGAAACGAGUGCGUGCGUGCGUGCCUGCCUCUCUGUGUGUGUGUAUGUGUGUGUGUGUGUGCGUGCGCGUGUGCGUGUGUGUAUGUGUGUGUACACAUUCAGUUUUUAGGGCCAGCCUAGAACCCGCUGGACAGACCUACAGACCCAUGGGGCUUGGUAGUGCCCUCUGAGAGAGGGAGAAGAUAGCAGCGGGGCUGCCGAGGCACCCUGCAUAUCCCAGAUCAUGUCUCUGUGGAGUCUAAUUUCCAAGAUGUCCCCAGAAAAACUGCAACGGCUCUAUGUUGACUUUCCGCAACACCUGCGGCAUCUCCUGGCUGACUGGCUGGAGAGCCAGCCCUGGGAGUUCCUGGUCGGUUCAGAUGCUUUCUGUUACAACAUGGCUAGCGUCCUACUUUCUGCCACUGUCCAGCGUCUUCAGGCCUCUGCAGGAGAGCAAGGGAAAGGAAGCAACAUCUUGCAGCACAUCAGCACCUUGGAGAGCAUCUAUCAGAGGGAUCCCCUGAAGCUGGUGGCCACCAUCAGACAAAUACUUCAAGGGGAGAAAAAAGCUGUUAUAGAAGAGUUCCGCCACCUGCCAGGGUCCUUCCAUCGGAAGCAGGAAGAACUGAAGUUUACUACAGCCCUUGGAAGACUUCAGCACGGAGUAAGGGAGACCCGACUUCUCCGAGAAUCUCUGCAGCAAGGGACCAAGACUAGACAAGUGUCUCUGCAGAACUUGAUAGACCCUCCUGCCAAUGGCGCUGUUCCAAGUGAGGAUCUGGCCACGAUGCUGCAGGGGACUGUGGGGGACCUGGAGGCCACCCAGGCCCUGGUGCUGAAAAGGAUUCAGAUUUGGAAGCGGCAGCAGCAGCUGGCAGGGAAUGGCACACCCUUUGAGGAGAGCCUAGCAGGGCUGCAGGAGAGGUGUGAAAGCCUGGUGGAAAUUUAUUCCCAGCUGCAGCAGGAGAUUGGGGCAGCCAGUGGGGAGCUUGAGCCCAAGACUCGGGCAUCACUGAUAAGCCGUCUGGAUGAAGUCCUUCGAACCCUUGUGACCAGCUCUUUCCUGGUAGAGAAACAGCCCCCCCAGGUUCUGAAGACACAGACUAAGUUCCAGGCUGGGGUUCGAUUCCUGCUGGGUCUGCAGUUCCUAGGGACCUCUGCCAAACCUCCACUGGUCAGAGCUGAUAUGGUGACAGAGAAACAGGCCAGAGAAUUAAGCCUGCCCCAGGGGUCUGGGGCUGGAGUGGAGAGCACAGGAGAGAUCGUGAACAAUACAGUGCCUCUGGAGAACAGUGUUCCUGGGAACUGCUGCUCCGCCCUGUUCAAGAACCUGCUCCUAAAGAAAAUCAAGCGCUGUGAGCGGAAGGGCACAGAGUCUGUCACGGAAGAGAAGUGUGCUGUGCUCUUCUCUACGAGCUUCACGCUGGGCCCCAACAAACUCCUCAUCCAGCUUCAGGCCCUGUCUCUGCCCUUGGUGGUCAUUGUCCAUGGCAACCAAGACAACAAUGCCAAAGCUACCAUCCUGUGGGACAAUGCCUUCUCUGAGAUGGACCGAGUGCCCUUUGUGGUAGCUGAGAGAGUGCCCUGGGAGAAAAUGUGUGAAACUCUGAACCUUAAGUUUAUGGCUGAGGUGGGGACCAGCCGGGGACUGCUACCAGAACACUUUCUGUUCCUGGCCCAGAAGAUUUUCAAUGACAACAGUCUCAGCAUGGAGGCCUUUCAGCACCGCUGUGUGUCCUGGUCACAGUUCAACAAGGAGAUCCUGUUGGGCCGUGGCUUCACUUUUUGGCAGUGGUUUGAUGGUGUCCUGGACCUCACUAAACGCUGUCUCCGGAGCUACUGGUCAGAUCGGCUGAUCAUUGGCUUUAUUAGUAAGCAAUAUGUCACUAGCCUUCUCCUCAACGAGCCAGAUGGAACCUUCCUCCUCCGCUUUAGCGACUCUGAGAUUGGGGGCAUCACCAUUGCCCAUGUCAUCCGGGGUCAGGAUGGCUCGUCACAGAUAGAGAACAUCCAGCCAUUUUCUGCCAAAGACCUGUCCAUUCGCUCACUGGGGGACCGAAUCCGGGAUCUUGCUCAGUUAAAAAACCUCUACCCCAAGAAACCCAAGGAUGAAGCUUUCCGGAGCCACUAUAAGCCUGAACAGAUGGGGAAGGACGGGAGGGGUUAUGUCUCUACUACUAUCAAGAUGACUGUGGAAAGGGACCAGCCCCUUCCUACUCCAGAGCCUCAGAUGCCUGCCAUGGUGCCCUCUUAUGAUCUUGGAAUGGCCACCGAUGGUUCCAUGCAGCUCAACUCCGAUAUGGUGUAUCCUCCACAGUCUCAUUCCAUCCACUCAUUUCAGAGCCUCCCUCUAGAGGAGCCCAUGAAUGUACUGCCAUCCUUUCAGGAGCCUCACCUGCAAAUGCCCCCCAACAUGAGCCAGAUAAGCAUGCCCUUUGACCAGCCUCACCCCCAGGGCCUGCUGCAGUGCCAGUCCCAAGAGCAUGCUGUUUCCAGCCCUGAACCCUUGCUUUGCUCAGAUGUGACCAUGGCAGAGGACAGCUGCCUAACUCAGCCUGUGGGAGGUUUCCCCCAAGGCACCUGGCUCAGCGACGACAUGUACCCUCCCCUGAUGCCUCCCACUGAACAGGACCUUACCAAGCUUCUCCUGGAGGGCCAAGGGGAGGCAGGAGGGUCCUUAGGAAACCAGCCCCUCCUGCAACCAUCUCCUUAUGGGCAAUCUGGGAUCUCAAUGUCCCACCUGGACCUAAGGACCAACCCCAGUUGGUGAUCCCAGCUGGAGAAGCCUAGAGACAGAGCCUCUUCUGUCUCUAUGGACCUGCUCUGAACACCUGCUCAUGCAGGUGUCUCCAGUCUCCAGCUGUUUCUUGGUCAAGAGGAAAGAACUGGCUGGGAGAAUGUGUGGUGUAUGGAACUGCCAUGCUCUGUCCUUCCUACCACAUCAGCCUCCCCCCCCCAGCCCCCGCCUUUUCCAGCACUGGGCACAAACGGAUGAGUGGAAUAUUCAGGCUCUAAUGUGAUACAGGUCCCUGCACACCUGUAUCUUGCUCGCUCUCCCUCUCUCUUUCUCUCUCUCUCUCAACACACACACACACACACACACACACACACACACCCCAGAACUGUGUCGAGCAGGGCCUGCGACUCACAUGCAGAAACAUAGAGACACUGUGCCAAAGAUAAAGGGCAUAGACCUAGAGCACUGAAGCUGGGUUCAGGUGACUCUGGGAGAAAAAGGGAAAAGUGGGCAUAUGGUUACUGGUAUGAAUUUUACCCAGAUUAAAAAACAAAACAAAAAACUCCUCCAAAGCUCCAAAUUCUUACCAAAGAGGCCUUGUGACAUCUGAGACUGUGCAUUCUAAGAGCUAAGCUGGUGUGUAGCUGUGCCAAUGUUUACCUGAGACACGUUAACCUAUAGAUGUCACACAUCACCCUACGACCACACAGAACAUGUAUCUUCUGCUUUUGCCAGUGUGACCUUAUGUACCUGAAUGGCUGAGACGUAUACAACAGCCACCCAGUAUCAACUGGGGAGUAACUGUGUGGCUGUGACACACAUAGAGCUAUGGCCUUAGUGACCCCAUGCUUCCAGUGUUUCCUAGAGCCUGAGGGUUGAGUAGGGGUGCAGACCUCGCUGUGUAAAUUCCCUGGGCAUUGGGGGGUGGGGGGCCCAACUGCUGUCUCUUGUACUUUUCUGUCCACUGCCAGCUCUGCCCCGUCCCCUCACCCAGUCCUUUUUCCAUCACUGGGGGGAAGGGGGUCAUGGAUCCUAAGCCAUAAAAUAAAUUUUAUUCCAAAAUAACAAAAUAAAUAAUCUACUGUACACAAUCUGAAAAGAAAGACACGCUAAGUGUUCGACAGGUGCUGCAGUCCUGCCGGCUGAGGAGGCCCAGGAUCCAACCCAGGCCUCUAAGGGGCUGGUGGAGGGAAUUGUGGGGCAACCUCCCACACAGUGAGGGGGGAGGGAGAAAGAGAGAGGGGGAGGACUUCUGGGAGGGUGGCGGUGAGAACGGGCUGGCAAACUGCAGCACUUGUUAAAUUAAAGAAAUAAACUAGAAGCACGAAAAAUGGGGAUGGGGAGGGGAGACCCAGUUUUCCCAAGCCCCCAGUCUCAGAGCAAAUGGUUCCAUAGACCUUCCCAGGGAAGUUCUUUCUCUAUGUCCGAGCAGAGUAGUUCAGCUGCUCACACCACUGCUGGCCACCUGGAGAAUGGGUGUGUGUGUGUGUGUGUGUUUGUGUGUGUGUGU